AGUGAGUGGAAUUUCCGAUGUAGCGGUGAAAUGCGUAGGAUAUCGGAAGGAACGCCGGGGCGAGAAGCGGCUCACUGGACAAAUACUAACGCUUGAUGCACGAAAAGCUAGGGGAACAAACAGGAAUUAGAUACCCUGGUAAGUCCUAGCCCUAAACGAUGAUUGCUUGAUGUGGCAGGUACCCCAAUCCUGCCCGUGUCGAAGCUAACGCGAUAAAGCAAAUCCGCCUGGGGGAGGUACGGUCGCAAAGGCUGAAAACUCAAAGGGAUUGACGGGGGCCCGCACAAGCGGUGGAGCAUGUGGUUUAAUUCGACGCAACGCGAAGAACCUUACCUGGGCUCGAAAUGUACAUGAAUCCGGCAGAAACGUCGGCGUCUCGCAAGAGACAUGUAUAUAGGUGCUGCAUGGCUGUCGUCAGCUCGUGUCGUGAGAUGUUGGGUUAAGUCCCGUAACGAGCGCAACCCUUAUCUUCAGUUGCUACCAUUUAGUUGAGCACUCUGACGAAACCGCCUCGGAUAACGGGGAGGAAGGUGGGGAUGACGUCAAGUCCUCAUGGCCUUUAUGUCCAGGGCUACACACGUGCUACAAUGGCCGGUACAAACCGCUGCAACCCCGCGAGGGUGAGCUAAUCGGAAAAAGCCGGCCUCAGUUCGGAUUGGAGUCUGCAACUCGACUCCAUGAAGCUGGAAUCGCUAGUAAUCGUGGAUCAGCACGCCACGGUGAAUACGUUCCCGGGCCUUGUACACACCGCCCGUCACAUCACGAAAGUGGGUUGCACUAGAAGUCGGUGAGCUAACUCGCAAGAGAAGCAGCCGCCCAAGGUGUAAUUCAUGAUUGGGGUGAAGUCGUAACAAGGUAG
rnacentral:rRNA from 1 species